rnacentral:siRNA from 1 species
UGCAUGGUUUACAAUCGUU